UUUCUCUCCUCCCUAUCUCUGUCAGACAAGACCCAAGAAAGCUGUGAUAAUUGUUCUCUCUCUCUCUCUUCAAAACGCACUUCUCAUCCCUCUUCUUCGCCCACACCUGACACAUCUCAACCGGAGCCGACACAUCUCAACUGACGCCAGAGAUUUGGUUAGUUACUCAUUAUCGACUAGAACAACAAGAAUCUCAGGUUAGAAGGCCAAGUGCACUCAGUCAAACAUCUAGCAUGCCAAUGCCAAGGCAAAGGCCUACUCCAUCAAGCAAGGCAGUGCCAAAUUCACCCAAAUUCCAGUCAGUCAAGCAGGGGUAGUAGGCUAGUGCCCACUCACCCACAUUCCAAUCAACCAAGGGUAGCAGCCCAAGAAUUUUUCUUUUCUUUUGUUUGUGUAUCAAGGGUAACAGAGAAAGACAAUUGCUUUUGUGGGCUUUUGUUUUGUGGGCUGUUACUGUUGCUAUUUUAUAUGAUCAAUAGAAUGUUAGUUUAUAUUGUUACUAUUUUUUUUUGUCAUUGCCAAUGGUUUAUCUAUGAUGAAUUUGUUUAAUUUA